rnacentral:rRNA from 1 species
UACGUAGGGGGCUAGCGUUGUCCGGAAUCAUUGGGCGUAAAGAGCGCGUAGGCGGCUAGAUAAGUCCGGUGUGAAAGUCACAGGCUCAACCUGUGAAUGCCGCUGGAAACUGUCUGGCUAGAGUCCGGAAGGGGCGAGUGGAAUUCCUGGUGUAGCGGUGAAAUGCGCAGAUAUCAGGAGGAACACCAAUAGCGAAGGCAGCUCGCUGGGACGUUACUGACACUAAGGCGCGAAAGCGUGGGGAGCGAACAGG